GCGGGAGAAUCACUUGAACCCGGGAGGCGGAGGUUGCGGUGAGCCGGCAUCGUGCCACUGCAGUCCAGCCUGGGCGACAGAGCGAGACUCCAUCUCAAAAAAAUAAGUAAAAAUAAAAUAAAAAGCGAGAACGGGGAGGGAAGAGUAGAGAGGAAGAUCCCGGAGCUUCCUUGGGGGGUGAGGAAGGUGGGAGCCACGACGGUUGUAGAGGGAGAGCAGCUCCUCCCUUCACCCACCUGAGCCCGGGUCUCCUGUGUGGCCACAGCCUCUGCAGCCCACAGGGCCCCACGUUGUGAGGUUCACACACCUGCAGCUGCUCAGAAGUGCAAACCCACCCCCUGCAUGACGUGCUCUGGAUAUCAGUCGGCCUUCGCACCGCAGCCCUGGGUGGUUGAUCGAACGCUAAAGCUCCAGACCUGGAGAUGCCCCAGAGGAAGCGCCUGGCAGCAAUUAACCAUCCGAGCACCCCAGGUGGCGUGGACUCACGCGGCUCUUCAACCAAAUACCUGCUUCUGGAGUUGCCCUGACUGGCCGUCUGAAAUUCAUGAUAAAAAAUGGAUGAAGGCCUGGUUUUCACAUUGUGGCCGAUGAAUGCUGUCCCAGUCUUGUUCUCCUGUCCGUUUACCGCUGAUGCGUAACAUGGGCAGAACCUAAAAUUCACCUUUGCGACAUUUUUGUUUGUUUGUUUGUUUCUUUUGUUUUUGAGACGGAGUCUAGCUCUG
rnacentral:lncRNA from 1 species